rnacentral:tRNA from 1 species
GGGGAUAUGGCUCAAUUGUUAAGAGUGCUUACCUAGCAUGGAUGAGGCCCUGGGUAAAAAUUCCCAGUACCACUU